UGUUAAAAAUUUUCCAUCCAUUUGUACGACUAAAAACUAAAAACUAAAAAGCUAAUGGAAUAACCAAGCAAUGACACUUAACAUGCCACGUGUAUCUCAUGAUGAUGUGCAAGACUAGUUUUUAACAGUAGAAAUAGAUGGAAUUUUUAACA
rfam:Gossypium hirsutum cultivar TM-1 unplaced genomic scaffold scaffold413.1, whole genome shotgun sequence